AUUUAAAUAGCUUAAGAAGAGCAUAACAUUGAAGCUGUUAGGGUGAUUAAUUAUCUUUAAAUA
rnacentral:tRNA from 1 species